rnacentral:rRNA from 1 species
CAAUAGCGUAUAUUAAAGUUGUUGCAGUUAAAAAGCUCGUAGUUGGAUUUCGGGGCAGCCUGGCUGGUCCGCCGCAAGGCGAGUACUGGUCAGCCGCCCUUCCUCUCGAAAGCCCCGACUGCUCUUCGUUGCAGUGGUCGGGUAGUUCGGGACGUUUACUUUGAAAAAAUUAGAGUGUUCAAGGCAGGCCUACGCCUGAAUACAUUAGCAUGGAAUAAUGGAAGAGGACCUCGGUCCUAUUUUGUUGGUUUCCAGGGCCGAAGUAAUGAUUAAGAGGGACAGUUGGGGGCAUACGUAUUUAAUUGUCAGAGGUGAAAUUCUCGGAUUUAUGAAAGACGAACAACUGCGAAAGCAUUUGCCAAGGAUGUUUUCAUUAA